rnacentral:tRNA from 1 species
GGUCGGUUAGCUCAGUUGGUUUAGAGCGUGGUGCUAAUAGCAUUCAUCCUAUGAUACGCCAAGGUCGCGGGUUCGACCCCCGUACUGACCA